rnacentral:rRNA from 1 species
AACGAACGCUGGCGGCAUGCCUAACACAUGCAAGUCGAACGGCACCAUCGUGUCUAGUUGCGCAUGCGUGCGUAACGCGUGGGAAGCUGCCCUUAGGUUCGGAAUAACUCUCUGAAGGGGGUGCUAAUGCCGGAUAAUGUCUUCUGACAAAAGAUUUAUCGCCUUUGGAUGGGCCCGCGUUGUUUUAGCUAGUUGCUAGUGUAAAAGCCUACCAAGGCUACGAUCCAUAGCUGGUCUGAGAGACUGAGCAGCGACACUGGGACUAGGACCCGGCCCAGACUCCUACGCGAGGCAGCAGUGGCGAAUACAGCAAAACCGGCUGAGGCCUGAUCCAGCUAUGCCGCGUGAGUCAUGAUGGUCUUAGAGAUGUAAAGCUCGUUUACCCGGGACGAUAAUGACGGUACCGGGAGAAUAAGCACCGGCUAACUUCGUG